rfam:Salmo salar isolate Sally breed double haploid chromosome ssa19, whole genome shotgun sequence.
UGUAUGCACACGUGACUAAGUCGCUUUGGAUAAAAGUGUCUGCUAAAUGGCGUAUA